rnacentral:rRNA from 11 species
UGGGUGGAUUAGUGGCGAACGGGUGAGUAAUACGUGAGUAACCUGCCUUUAACUCUGGGAUAAGCCUUGGAAACGGGGUCUAAUACCGGAUACGACCAACCCUCGCAUGAGGUGUUGGUGGAAAGGGAUUUUGUACUGGUUUUAGAUGGGCUCACGGCCUAUCAGCUUGUUGGUGAGGUAAUGGCUCACCAAGGCGACGACGGGUAGCCGGCCUGAGAGGGUGACCGGCCACACUGGGACUGAGACACGG